CCCUUAGAUGUUCUGGGCCGCACGCGCGCUACACUGAUGCAUUCAACGAGUUUUUCCUGGUCCGAGAGGAAUGGGUAACCUUUUGAAAGUGCAUCGUGCUAGGGAUAGACUAUUGCAAUUAUUGGUCUUCAACGAGGAAUUCCUAGUAGACGUAGUUCAUCAGACUGCAUCGAUUACGUCCCUGCCCUUUGUACACACCGCCCGUCGCUCCUACCGAUUGAAUGGUCCGGUGAAAUCUCGGGACGGCGGCUUGGUCGCUUGCGUCCGACUGCUGAAACUUGAUUAAACCAUAUCAUUUAGAGGAAGGUGAAGUCGUAACA
rnacentral:rRNA from 1 species